rnacentral:lncRNA from 1 species
AGUGACCACGGUGCAUGCUAUAUAAAGCGGCAGUCAAUGGUGUGAGAAUACGUUCACAUUGCUUCGACGACUGCUGUGCUUUCUUCGGGGAAUAGAGUGAUCGUUCCAGGCAUUUCUUGCGGAUAGCACCACCCUUUUGCAGCCCAUAUAAAAAUGUCUCCCGUCAACGGAUUUCACAUUGUUGUGCUUCUUAUAGUGGCCUUCUUCGUGGCAGAAGGAGAGGCCUGCGAAAUAGCCAAGCAAACCAUGAAUACAGUCUGUAGUGUGUUUGGGCGGGAGGAAAACGCUAUCUUCAAACAACACCAGUGAGGAUUGUCUCACAAGCGGCACGAGUUUAUUGAAGCCCCGGGGCAAUGUUUUUUGAAUAAACGAGGUUG